rnacentral:rRNA from 1 species
GAUGAACGCUGGCGGUAUGCUUAACACAUGCAAGUCGAACGGACUCUUCGGAGUUAGUGGCGGACGGGUGAGUAACGCGUGAGAAUCUGGCUUUGGGUUCGGGACAACCACUGGAAACGGAGGCUAAUACCGGAUGUGCCGAGAGGUAAAAGAGAAAUUGCCUGAAGAUGAGCUCGCGUCUGAUUAGCUAGUUGGUGAGGUAAAGGCUCACCAAGGCAGCGAUCAGUAGCUGGUCUGAGGGGAUGACCAGCCACACGGGGACUGAGACACGGCCGACUCUCACACGGGGGGGAGCAGUGGGAAAUUUUACGAAGUGGGCAAGAGCCUGACGGAGCAAUACCGCGUGAGAGAAGAAGGCUCUUGGGUUGUAAACCUCUUUUCUUAGGGAAGAACAAAAUGACGGUACCUAAGGAAUAAGCACCGGCUAACUCCGUG